rnacentral:rRNA from 1 species
CGAACGAUGAACCGCUUUCGGGCGGGGAUUAGUGGCGAACGGGUGAGUAACACGUGGGCAAUCUGCCCUGCACUCUGGGACAAGCCCUGGAAACGGGGUCUAAUACCGGAUAUGACCGUCUGCCGCAUGGUGGAUGGUGUAAAGCUCCGGCGGUGCAGGAUGAGCCCGCGGCCUAUCAGCUUGUUGGUGAGGUAGUGGCUCACCAAGGCGACGACGGGUAGCCGGCCUGAGAGGGCGACCGGCCACACUGGGACUGAGACACGGCCCAGACUCCUACGGGAGGCAGCAGUGGGGAAUAUUGCACAAUGGGCGAAAGCCUGAUGCAGCGACGCCGCGUGAGGGAUGACGGCCUUCGGGUUGUAAACCUCUUUCAGCAGGGAAGAAGCGAAAGUGACGGUACCUGCAGAAGAAGCGCCGGCUAACUACGUGCCAGCAGCCGCGGUAAUACGUAGGGCGCAAGCGUUGUCCGGAAUUAUUGGGCGUAAAGAGCUCGUAGGCGGCUUGUCACGUCGGUUGUGAAAGCCCGGGGCUUAACCCCGGGUCUGCAGUCGAUACGGGCAGGCUAGAGUUCGGUAGGGGAGAUCGGAAUUCCUGGUGUAGCGGUGAAAUGCGCAGAUAUCAGGAGGAACACCGGUGGCGAAGGCGGAUCUCUGGGCCGAUACUGACGCUGAGGAGCGAAAGCGUGGGGAGCGACAGGAUUAGAUACCUGGUAGUCACGCCGUAAACGGUGGGCACUAGGUGUGGGCAACAUUCCACGUUGUCCGUGCCGCAGCUAACGCAUUAAGUGCCCCGCCUGGGGAGUACGGCCGCAAGGCUAAAACUCAAAGGAAUGACGGGGGCCCGCACAAGCGGCGGAGCAUGUGGCUUAAUCGACGCAACGCGAAGAACCUUACCAAGGCUUGACAUACACCGGAAACGUCUGGAGACAGGCGCCCCCUUGUGGUCGGUGUACAGGUGGUGCAUGGCUGUCGUCAGCUCGUGUCGUGAGAUGUUGGGUUAAGUCCCGCAACGAGCGCAACCCUUGUCCCGUGUUGCCAGCAGGCCCUUGUGGUGCUGGGGACUCACGGGAGACCGCCGGGGUCAACUCGGAGGAAGGUGGGGACGACGUCAAGUCAUCAUGCCCCUUAUGUCUUGGGCUGCACACGUGCUACAAUGGCCGGUACAAUGAGCUGCGAUACCGUGAGGUGGAGCGAAUCUCAAAAAGCCGGUCUCAGUUCGGAUUGGGGUCUGCAACUCGACCCCAUGAAGUCGGAGUCGCUAGUAAUCGCAGAUCAGCAUUGCUGCGGUGAAUACGUUCCCGGGCCUUGUACACACCGCCCGUCACGUCACGAAAGUCGGUAACACACCGAAGCCGGUGGCCCAACCC